rnacentral:piRNA from 1 species
AGAAAUGAUGAUAUGAGUUACGUGAUGCUCC